UAAUAAAAAAGUCAAGCAAAGGGCAUGUCUUGGUUCGGCUGGGACUCGGCAGACUGCCUGCGUUAUUACAGUGCUGGGAGUCUGAGGCUCUCUGCUCCUUGAGGAUUAUCAUGUGACUCCUCCCCAAGUGAACAAAAAUGGAGUCCUUUUCUACAUUAUUUUUUGUAACUGGCUCUUUUUCCUUUUUACUGCCUCUUGGAACACUUGGGACACUUUGUAUGUGAGUACCUGUAGCUCUACCUCAUUCUUUUUGAUGGUUUGUUUCCA
rnacentral:lncRNA from 1 species